CGUCCCCGUCGCGCGGCUGAUGCCCGGGGUCAUCGCCCGGCUCCAGUCCUGCCAGCCGGGCUGGUGCCGGCUCGAGGCCGGCGGCCAUGAC
rnacentral:tRNA from 1 species